AGCUGAUUCUUUCUGGCGGAGCUCGACCGCCAACGCAGGAAGUAGUCGUGUGCAAUGACACGAAUCGCGACGAAUUCGGGGGUCGAGCCCACCUGCACCGGCUGUGAUCGGCAGUCGGGCGGGUGGCCCCG
rfam:Mycobacterium marinum M, complete genome.